CUGUUCACCACAAACGCCGUCACGGCGAGAGUGGCCACGGCCAGUGGCACGCCUUGGUGGAUGUCCGUCCUCUACGGCCCCCAAGAGGACGCGGAAAAGAUCGCCUUCCUGCAGGAGAUACGCGAUAUACGCGCGGACUGCCCUGGGCCAUGGAUGCUUUGCGAUGACUUCAACUUGAUCCUACGCGAUGAAGACAAGAAUAACGACAACCUGAAUCGCCGCAUGAUGGGAAGAUUCUGCCGCCUCGUCAACGACCUCGCGCUCAAGGAGGUAUACCUCAAUGGAAGAAGAUUCACGUGGUCCAACGAGCAAACUCCGCCCACCCUGGUGCACCUGGACCGUGUGUUUUGCACUGCCGACUGGGAGGACGCGCAUGGUGACUGCCACUUGAGAUGCCUCACCUCCGUCGUGUCCGAUCAUUGCCCGCUCCUCCUUGACUGCGCACCCACGCAUGUAGCGCACCGGAGGUUCCACUUCGAGGAUUUUUGGCUGCGGCUUGACGGAUUUCACGAUACGGUUGCCGCGGCUUGGGGAUCAGUGCACGACCCGGACCCUUUCUGGUGUCUCAUGUUGCGCCUUCAGACCACGGCAUGCGCACUGACGAGUUGGAGCGCCAAGUCCAAGGGUUGCAUAUGUGACAAGAUGGCCAUCUCCCGCGAGCUCAUAUCGCGUUUUGACAAAGCCCAGGAAGAUCGCACGCUAUCUCCCCCAGAAGAUUGGCUCAGAAAACAGCUCAAGAUCUCAUACUUGGGGCUGGCUUCUCUCGAGCGCACAAUCGCGAGGCAACGGGCGCGGAUCACCACGCUCAAGGACGGUGACGCUAACACAGCCUUCUUCCACCGACAAUGCUCAUUCCGCCGGCAGAAGAAUCACAUAUUCCGCCUCGUGAUCGAUGGGCAAGUGAUCACUGAUCAGGAAGGAAUGGCCCAAGCGGUGUUCACAUACUUCGACGAGCUCCUUGGCUCCUCCGCUGCCCGCAACCACACGCUGGACCUAUCGCAGAUCAUCGAGCCCAACGACCUGACUGACUUCGAGGCGCCAUUCGGCCUGGAGGAGAUUUGGGACGCCGUCAAGCGCCUCCCGGCUCGCAAAGCGCCGGGGCUAGACGGAUUCACCGCGGAAUUCUUGCGGGCCAGCUGGAGCACCAUCAAGCAAGACUUCCUCGACGUCUUCCAGCAGCUAUUUGAGCUGCGCGGUCGUGGAUUCAGCAAGCUCAACCAGGCCCUCUUGAAAUUACUCUCAAAGCGAGCAGACGCGUGCCAACUACGCGACUACAGGCCAAUAUGCCUCAUUCACCUUGUGGCGAAGAUCUUCGCGAAGGUGCUAUCGCUCCGCCUAGCGCCCAGAUUGGGAGAC
rnacentral:rRNA from 1 species